AUACAGCUAAGAUUACGAUCUUGUAUAUUAUCAGUAAUAUGGUCUGAUAGUCUCUACCUAGUAACCGUAAAAAACUAGACUACAAGAAAGUUUGGAUAUAAG
rnacentral:ncRNA from 3 species